GACGAACGCUGGCGGCGUGCUUAACACAUGCAAGUCGAACGGAAAGGCCCUGCUUUUGUGGGGUGCUCGAGUGGCGAACGGGUGAGUAACACGUGAGUAACCUGCCCUUGACUUUGGGAUAACUUCAGGAAACUGGGGCUAAUACCGGAUAGGAGCUCCUGCUGCAUGGUGGGGGUUGGAAAGUUUCGGCGGUUGGGGAUGGACUCGCGGCUUAUCAGCUUGUUGGUGGGGUAGUGGCUUACCAAGGCUUUGACGGGUAGCCGGCCUGGGAGGGUGACCGGCCACAUUGGGACGGAGAUGCGGCCCAGACUCCUACGGGAGGCAGCGGUGGGGAAUAGUGCACAAUGGGCGGAAGCCUGAUGCAGCAACGCCGCGUGCGGGAUGACGGCCUUCGGGUUGUAAACCGCUUUCGCCUGUGACAAAGCGUGAGUGACGGUAAUGGGUAAAGAAGCACCGGCUAACUACGUG
rnacentral:rRNA from 1 species